rnacentral:rRNA from 1 species
GAUGAACGCUGGCGGCGUGCCUAAUACAUGCAAGUCGAGCGAACGGACGAGAAGCUUGCUUCUCUGAUGUUAGCGGCGGACGGGUGAGUAACACGUGGAUAACCUACCUAUAAGACUGGGAUAACUUCGGGAAACCGGAGCUAAUACCGGAUAAUAUUUUGAACCGCAUGGUUCAAAAGUGAAAGACGGUCUUGCUGUCACUUAUAGAUGGAUCCGCGCUGCAUUAGCUAGUUGGUAAGGUAACGGCUUACCAAGGCAACGAUGCAUAGCCGACCUGAGAGGGUGAUCGGCCACACUGGAACUGAGACACGGUCCAGACUCCUACGGGAGGCAGCAGUAGGGAAUCUUCCGCAAUGGGCGAAAGCCUGACGGAGCAACGCCGCGUGAGUGAUGAAGGUCUUCGGAUCGUAAAACUCUGUUAUUAGGGAAGAACAUAUGUGUAAGUAACUGUGCACAUCUUGACGGUACCUAAUCAGAAAGCCACGGCUAACUACGUGCCAGCAGCCGCGGUAAUACGUAGGUGGCAAGCGUUAUCCGGAAUUAUUGGGCGUAAAGCGCGCGUAGGCGGUUUUUUAAGUCUGAUGUGAAAGCCCACGGCUCAACCGUGGAGGGUCAUUGGAAACUGGAAAACUUGAGUGCAGAAGAGGAAAGUGGAAUUCCAUGUGUAGCGGUGAAAUGCGCAGAGAUAUGGAGGAACACCAGUGGCGAAGGCGACUUUCUGGUCUGUAACUGACGCUGAUGUGCGAAAGCGUGGGGAUCAAACAGGAUUAGAUACCCUGGUAGUCCACGCCGUAAACGAUGAGUGCUAAGUGUUAGGGGGUUUCCGCCCCUUAGUGCUGCAGCUAACGCAUUAAGCACUCCGCCUGGGGAGUACGACCGCAAGGUUGAAACUCAAAGGAAUUGACGGGGACCCGCACAAGCGGUGGAGCAUGUGGUUUAAUUCGAAGCAACGCGAAGAACCUUACCAAAUCUUGACAUCCUUUGACAACUCUAGAGAUAGAGCCUUCCCCUUCGGGGGACAAAGUGACAGGUGGUGCAUGGUUGUCGUCAGCCCGUGUCGUGAGAUGUUGGGUUAAGUCUCGCAACGAGCGCAACCCUUAAGCUUAGUUGCCAUCAUUAAGUUGGGCACUCUAAGUUGACUGCCGGUGACAAACCGGAGGAAGGUGGGGAUGACGUCAAAUCAUCAUGCCCCUUAUGAUUUGGGCUACACACGUGCUACAAUGGACAAUACAAAGGGCAGCGAAACCGCGAGGUCAAGCAAAUCCCAUAAAGUUGUUCUCAGUUCGGAUUGUAGUCUGCAACUCGACUACAUGAAGCUGGAAUCGCUAGUAAUCGUAGAUCAGCAUGCUACGGUGAAUACGUUCCCGGGUCU